rnacentral:misc_RNA from 1 species
AUUUCUGGAAUCCGGCCGCGCUGACGGCGACUAGUGUGGCCCGAGCUGUGGCGGCGGCGGAGCCCUCCUCCUAACAGUGUCCUGAGCGGCUCCGAGCGCCGUAGUGACCUGACCUGACCUGACCUGAUCUCACGGACCGGGGUGUGCUGUGAUUGUUAACUCGCCACACUCGCGCCCGAGAUGGGCAAGACGUCCAACAUGUACAGUGCGCGAGUGUCCUCUCAGAGCCGGAGCUCCAUCAGCUCGACGACAGUGCACCAUGGCACGACGUCAGCGUUCCCGAGUGCUGAGCCCUCCGACCUGGAGAGCUUCUUCAGCUCCACGGAGAUGGGGGCCAACAAGAAGCUGUUUGGCAAGGACCUCAGCGAGUAUGACAACAUGGACAUGGACGACAUGUUGGACCAGCUGACCGCAGAGGAGAUAGAGCUGCUCACCAGGGACGUGGAUCCCGACGACUCCCUGAUGCCGCCCGAUCAACGGACAUCCUAUCGGUGCGACAAGUCGGCCACGGGGCCUCUGAACAGAAAACAGCUCAUCGAUCACAUCAACGAACAGGCGAUGACGGAGCCCGACCGACCCGAGCUGGUCCCCUACGAGCCCGGCACCAUCCGCGGUAAAAAGUGGGUGCCACCACCGCCACCGGCCGAGGAGCAGCGAGCCGAUGAACAGGUGGCCCUGGACAUGGGGGACGAGUACGAGUCGGCACUGGCCGACGCCACCGAGAGCGAGAUGGUCGACCUGGCAGCUAUCCUGGGCUUCCACUCGAUGAUGAACCAGGACCAGUACCACGCCUCGUUGCUCGGCAAGAAGCUGGACACGGAGGAGGUUGGCUGGAGUGGCAUCACGCGCGCCUCGCGGCCCAAAGCGAUGGCGCCCGAGCCGCCCAACACCACCGACCCGGAGCAGUCGAUCGAGCGCAUCAAACGCGACGACCCGGAACUGCGCCGGCUCAACCUCAACAAUGUCAAGACGAUAUCUGAAGAGCAGUUUGGCCGGCUGUGCGAGGCGGCCAGCGCCAACAGUCGCCUGGAGGGCCUUCUCUGUUCCAACACCCACAUGGGAGACACGUACGCAGAGAAACUGGUCCAGCUCAUCGAGAACAAUCCCAAUAUCAAGGAGAUCAGCAUCGAGUCCAACUUCAUCAGCCCUCCGAUGAUCGCCAGGCUCGUGAAGGCUCUCCUCGUGCAUAAAAGCGUCGAAACCUUCAGAGCCGCCAACCAAAGGUCGCAGGUGCUGGGGAACAAAAUCGAAAUGGAGAUCACAAAGUACGUGGAACAGAACCCCAACCUGCUACAGUUCGGACUGCACUUUGACUUCAACGACGCUCGUGCAAGAGUCUGCAACCAGCUGCAGAAGAACCGCGACCGCUUCCGCACCGGCAAGAGGUCGCGGCUCAGCUGUACUCUGUUCCGCGACCUCAUUUGGAAGAAACUAACGUAAUCAAGCACGCUUGGCACGGCGAGACGCUGGCUCUGACGCAAACAAGGCCAAAUGAACAGGGCCGUGGCCGCGUUUUAGCCAGCUUGUGGUGCCCAGAAGCUGACGGCUUUCGCUGCGACCUGUCAAUCGGAGCCGACGGUAGCUGCUCUGGCCUGUUCCGCGGUAUUGACGAGUGCACCGAUCAGCCGGCAUUGAGACAUUUCUGCAGGCUGCAAGCAUCGCGUUGCAUGACGCGGUACCAUGACUUGCCUCCGGGCGCCGUUCUUUCUGUGCCCGUGCCCCCGACGGACCCCGCAGUGCGCCGUCAGAGAGGAGACAGUGACUUCCAAAGCGCAGUGCCAGCGGACUACGUUUGUGACGCGUUUGCGACGUCGUGGAGUAGCCUCCAGAACGCUUGUCUGAUACGGCGCCGGCUGGCCGGACUUGUUUGUGAACGAGCGUCUUGUAGAGCCUUUGUCGACAGUCCCUCCCGUCUCACCCGCCGCCCCCAGUGCUGUGGUGCUCUCUGUGCGCAUCAGCGCUCAUCAAUGGAACGCGCGUUGACGAUCAGUCAGCCGUUCGGCGUGUGUCGAACUCAGCUGGUCUCUGCCCGAGUGGCCGCAGCGCACUGUAUCCUAUGGUGCGAUUAUGCGUGGUAUGCAAGUACUGUCUGUAUGUCAUGGUAAUAGGCCGGGAGCCCCCAUUGCUUAAAUACCGUACCGUAUAAUUACUCUUUUCGGUACACAUACAGCGCGUCCAGUUACCGUACCAUGCCUCGAUUGAAGUACCGCUCCGUACUAUGUCGUACCAUGCUGUAUCAUGAGGUGAGGUACGUCAGCGUUCAGUCCCGUACCGUAUAAAACGAAAUCCAUUGGUAAGACACCGUAGCCCGUACCGUAUCGUAUUUACCCGUACCUCCUAGUAAGGUCCCGUCCCCUAUCAUACCGCACCACGUGCCAUAGAGCUCCCCCGGUCGGAAACUCGACGGAAGGUGCAGAGUGAUGUCACCAUCUGCAGUGGAGCGCGAGCUGCAGAGGCGGUCACUCGAGCUGCGGCUCUUAUUUUUGUUUGGAAAAUAUAGAUGUAGAAUUUUAGUGGUGCUCGACAGAAGUGUAUUCAUGUACUCAUAUGCCAUAAAUAAAACGGAACAUUGGGAGUUGAA